CUACUGGGGUAUCUAAUCCCGUUUGCUCCCCUGGCUUUCGCGCCUCAGCGUCAGGAGGGGUCCAGCACCUCGCCUUCGCCACCGGAGUUCCUGUGAAUAUCAACGCAUUUCACCGCUCCACUCACAGUUCCAGAUGCCCCUACCCCCCUCGAGGCCGCCCGUAUCCGGGGCAGUUCCACGGUUGAGCCGUGGGAUUUCACCCCGGACGCGGCAGCCCGCCUACGCGCCCUUUAAGCCCAGUGAUUCCGAACAACGUUCGCUCGGUUCGUCUUACCGCGGCUGCUGGCAC
rnacentral:rRNA from 1 species